rnacentral:misc_RNA from 1 species
UAUUACAUUAUAGCCAGCCUGAAACAUCUUGCUAGCAGCAAAAAAGGAUAGGGGUCUUGUAACAAACGUUUCUAAACUACAGUUAAAAGUCAUUGUUUUACGGGGUUUGAUAUUUAACUGUAUAUAAAUUGCAGUGUUAAUUAAGGAACCGUAAAAUCGAGACUUUGAAAUCAUUAUUAACAUUAAAAUCAAUAGUAUAGCUGUUUACAUAAUACUACGUUAAGUCUGAAAAUAUGACAUUUCUAACGGUGCCAAUCCUGACAUCUCUAUCUGGGACCUGUAACAACACUGCGCAUAAUAGCAACGUGAUUAUGUUAAACAUUUACCUGCCUGCAACACUGGAACAGGCAGGCCGCGAAG